CGCGCUGUGGCGUAGUGGUUAACGCCCCCAAAUUCUAGAUGGCCUGUGCCAGCUUCGAAUCCUGCCGGCGCAU
rnacentral:tRNA from 1 species